UACGUAGGGAGCAAGCGUUGUCCGGAAUCAUUGGGCGUAAAGCGCGCGUAGGUGGUCUCGUAAGUCCGCUGUGAAAGUCAAAGGCUCAACCUUUGAAAGCCGGUGGAUACUGUGGGGACUAGAGUACGGAAGAGGCGAGUGGAAUUCCUGGUGUAGCGGUGGAAUGCGCAGAUAUCAGGAGGAACACCAAUAGCGAAGGCAGCUCGCUGGGACGUUACUGACACUGAGGCGCGAAAGCGUGGGGGAGCGAACAGG
rnacentral:rRNA from 1 species